UACGAAGGGUGCAAGCGUUACUCGGAAUUACUGGGCGUGAAGCGUGCGUAGGUGGUGAGUUAAGUCUGUCGUGAAAGCCCCGGGCUCAACCUGGGAAUGGCGAUGGAUACUGGCUCGCUAGAGUGCGGUAGAGGAGAGUGGAAUUCCCGGUGUAGCAGUGAAAUGCGUAGAGAUCGGGAGGAACAUCAGUUGCGAAGGCAGCUUACUACACAGUUAUUGACACUGAGGCACGAAAGCGUGGGGAUCAAACAGG
rnacentral:rRNA from 1 species